rnacentral:rRNA from 1 species
UACGAAGGGGGCUAGCGUUGUUCGGAAUUACUGGGCGUAAAGCGCGCGCAGGCGGUCUUCCAAGUCAGUGGUGAAAGCCCGGAGCUCAACUCCGGAACUGCCAUUGAAACUGUGAGACUUGAGGAUGAGAGAGGUGAGUGGAAUUCCCAGUGUAGAGGUGAAAUUCGUAGAUAUUGGGAAGAACACCGGUGGCGAAGGCGGCUCACUGGCUCAUUUCUGACGCUCAGGCGUGACAGCGUGGGGAUCAAACAGG